UAUUAUCUCAUGUAUUUUACAAAAUUGACUGAUAUGAACCAAACUGAUUCAAUUGUGAUGUACAUGAGCUCAAUAAUUGGGGGAAGUGAAUGUGAAUCAAGUAAAUCAUUCAAGCUAAUUAGUUUAGUUUCUAUAAGAAAUUUUAUCACUUGAUUGAAAGAAUUAAAAAAUUAUAGGCUCCUUAAUUGCAAAAACUUAAACCCUAAAACAUUGGGUCCAUAGCCAAAUUCCUUAAUUUUCUUGUGCAAGUAAUACUAGCAAUAGAAGAAAAACUUCAAAUAUAAGCUCAAAUUACUCAUUGAAUAAAUCAUAAUACAA
rnacentral:lncRNA from 1 species